GCCGGGGAUGGCGGGGACGGAGCCGGAGCCGCCGCUUCCCCGCCCGGCUGUGGCGGGGCCGGAGCCGAGAGGGCGCCGUUGUGCCAGAGGAGGCGGAGGGGCGAGUGUCUCCGGAUGGGCAGGAUAAAGACUCGGCCUUCCCGAGGUGUGGAAGCGCACAAAGAUCUUGGCAGCCUUUGAUAACGCGGCGCAGCGCUGGCACCUCUUGGACAUGGCAUCGGGUACCCUUUCAUUUACUCCAUUGUAUUGUGCCCACUGAAGCAGGUUCCUGAUGGGUUACUGAGGGCACAGACCUAAAACACCGUUUAAAGCAUGUAUUUUACAGGCUAUUGUUUCCUCAUUCAUUUUAACACACAGAUGUCAAGAAAAAAAAGCUAUUUUCAAUGUAGUCAAAAUAUGAUCAAAAAAUGAUGA